GUGCUCACUUCGGCAGCACAUAUACUAAAAAUUGGAACAAUACAGACAAGAUUAGCACGGCCCCUGCUCAAGAAUGACACACAAAUCCGUGAAGCGUUCCGUAUUUCC
ensembl:snRNA U6 U6 spliceosomal RNA